rnacentral:rRNA from 1 species
UAUGUGAUCGUCUCUCGCAUAUCAAUAAGCGGAGGAAAAGAAACUAACAAGGAUUCCCCUAGUAACGGCGAGUGAAGCGGGAAGAGCUCAAAUUUGAAAUCUUAAAGGGUUUCCCUUUACGAAUUGUAGUUUAAAGAAGUGUCUUCUGUUGAGGUUUUGGUAAAAGUUCUUUGGAAUAGGACAUCAUAGAGGGUGAGAAUCCCGUAUUUGACCUUUACUUUCAACUUUGUGAUACACUUUCAAAGAGUCGGAUUGUUUGGGAAUGCAGUCCAAAAUGGGUGGUAAAUUUCAUCUAAAGCUAAAUAUUGGCGAGAGACCGAUAGCGAACAAGUACCGUGAGGGAAAGAUGAAAAGAACUUUGAAAAGAGAGUUAAACAGUACGUGAAAUUGUCAAAAGGGAAGCGUUUGACACCAGUGUUGUUUUUCUGAAAAUCAAUUAAAGAACUGUUUAUGCUAAGCUGUUUAGACUUUAUCAGCUAAUCUGUUUAGUUUUGAGCUUUUCUUUAAUGCACUUUUCAGUUAACAAGUCAACAUCAAUUUCUUUUGCUGUAAAAAAGCUUGAGGAAGGUGGCUUGAGAUUCGUCUUAAGUGUUUAUAGCCUCUUGCCUAUGCAGUCGGAGAGAUUGAGGUCUGCAGCGUAGAUCCUUCGGGGCUAAAUGCAUUUGUGCUUAAGUUAUAAGCAUUUUAUAGACAACUUGUUGACUAUGAUUUGUCUUGUAGCUUACUCGCUUAUGUUAUUUUACCUACGCUUAGGAUGUUGAAGACUCUACAGAGAUA